GACAGAGGUGCCAAGCGUUAGGCGGAAUCACUGGGCUUAAAGCGUGUGUAGGCGGAUCGUUAAGUACCUUGUGAAAUCCCACGGCUCAACCGUGGAACUGCUCGGUAUACUGGCGGUCUUGAGCCACCUAGGGGCAACUGGAACAAGCGGUGGAGCGGUGAAAUGCGUAGAUAUUGGGAAGAACACCGAUGGCGAAGGCAGCCAUCUGGACCGACACUGACGCUGAGGCGCGAAAGCGUGGGGAGCAAACAGG
rnacentral:rRNA from 1 species